GUUGUGUAUCAAUUUUUUAAAUAAAUUUUAUGUCCGCAGACUAAUUUUCCUAGGAAAUCAUCCCCCGCCACAUUAUGUAUGUAUGUGCCUGUCCCAAGUCAGGAGCCUGUAAUUCAGUGGUGGUCGUCUGUUUAUGUGUUACAUAUUUGUUUUUCGUUCAUUUUUUUUUAUAUAAAUAAGGCCGUUAGUUUUCUCGUUUGAUUUGUUUUACAUUGCCAUUUCGGGGUCUUUCAUAGCUGACUAUGGGGUAUGGGCUUUGCUCAUUUAUGAAGGCCGUACGGUGACCUAUAGCUGUUAAUUUCUGUGUCAUUUUGGUUUCUUGUGUACAGUUGUCUCAUUGGCAAUCAUACCACAUCUUCUUUUUCAUAUAAUA
rnacentral:lncRNA from 1 species